GAUGAACGCUGGCGGCGUGCCUAAUACAUGCAAGUCGAGCGAACAGACGAGGAGCUUGCUCCUCUGACGUUAGCGGCGGACGGGUGAGUAACACGUGGAUAACCUACCUAUAAGACUGGGAUAACUUCGGGAAACCGGAGCUAAUACCGGAUAAUAUAUUGAACCGCGUGGUUCAAUAGUGAAAGACGGUUUUGCUGUCACUUAUAGAUGGAUCCGCGCCGCAUUAGCUAGUUGGUAAGGUAACGGCUUACCAAGGCGACGAUGCGUAGCCGACCUGAGAGGGUGAUCGGCCACACUGGAACUGAGACACGGUCCAGACUCCUACGGGAGGCAGCAGUAGGGAAUCUUCCGCAAUGGGCGAAAGCCUGACGGAGCAACGCCGCGUGAGUGAUGAAGGUCUUCGGAUCGUAAAACUCUGUCAUUAGGGAAGAACAAAUGUGUAAGUAACUAUGCACGUCUUGACGGUAACUAAUCAGAAAGCCACGGCUAACUACGUG
rnacentral:rRNA from 1 species